GUCUUCGUAGCACAAUGGAUCGUGCGCCUCUCUCCUACUUCUGCGCCAAAGCGCAGUAUGGGCUAAGAGGUGAUCCGGGUUCGAGCCCCGGCGAGGACU
rnacentral:tRNA from 2 species